rnacentral:rRNA from 1 species
AUUGAACACUGGCGGCAGGCCUAACACAUGCAAGUCGAGCGAGCGGCGGACGGGUGAGUAAUGUAUGGGGACUGCCCGAUAGAGGGGGAUAACUACUGGAAACGGUGGCUAAUACCGCAUACUAUCGGAUACCCCCAAUGGGAUUAGCUAGUAGGGGGGGUAAAGGUUCACCUCGGCGACGAUCUCUACCUGGGCUGAGCGGAUGAUCAGCCACACUGUGAAGGAAACAGGGCCCAGACUCCUACGGGGGCAGCAGUGGGGAAUAUUGCACAAUGGGCGCAAGCCUGAUGCAGCCAUGCCGAGUGUAUGAAGAAGGCCUGAGGGUUGUAAAGUACUUUCAGUGGGGAGGCGUUACCCGCAGAAGAAGCACCGGCUAACUCCGUGCCAGCAGCCGCGGUAAUAC